GGCUUCAUCGUAUAGUGGAUAUUACACCCGGUUGUCAGCCGGAUAACAGGGGUUCGAUUCCCCUUGAAGCCGCCA
rnacentral:tRNA from 1 species